GCACGCCUAGCCGCACAACUGCAGCCUGGCGAGUAUCUGCUUGGAGACUCAGGAUAUCCUCUCGAGCCAUGGCUGCUUGUUCCAGUACCUGGCAGCCAUGCCGGCACCACCUCUGAAGGCCACUACAACCAGGAGCACGCAUCCAUGCGCAAUGUUGUGGAGAGAUGUAUCGGGGUGUUGAAAAGCAAGUUCCGCUGCUUGCAGCGCUUUCGGACACUGCUGUACAGCCCCGAUAGAGCAGCGCGAAUCAUUUAUGCAUGCGUUGCUCUCCAUAACAUUGCCUUGGAGGCGGGCGACUGGACAUUGGAGGAUUAUGGUGGGGAAGUGCCACCAGCUGAGGAGCCAGAGGAGCCAGGAGACAUACAGGUGCUGGCACCACAAGACGUGUUCCUCAGAGGAAGGCAGCAGCGCAGCGCAGUUGUCAACCUUUUCUGAAGGACACAGGAAUGGAUCCCCUCCUGGGCUGCUGCCGUCCGUUCUGCCGCGACAGCGAGGCGGGUUGUUGAAGCCUCGAUUCUGCGCAGCACCUGGAAUGAAUAAUCAUGGUGGAACUGUUCGCAUCAGUUGCUGAUUACUCGCAACCAGCUCACGGCUGCAAGCUGCUGUUGUGAAGAAUUGCAACGUGCACAACGAUUCCCUCUCUGCUGAAGAGCCACUGGCCUGAUGGCAUUCUUUGGCAGUGUCAAGCGUCGCGUACAAGCUAUACCCUCUUCGUUUGGACAGACAAAGACCUGCUGGAACUACUCUUCCGUCAUCUAUUCUAAUGCAUCUCUCACCACCAAACAGCCCUUUUCAGGGCUACCCAACCUUUCGUCCGGCGGCUGAUCGUUGGCAAGAUACGUUACCGAGCCCUCUAUACAACGCAUAUUUCUUGUUUACAUCCCAAGCUGAUUUGUUUUUCAGAUUCAUGAUUUACUUAUA